AAAUCUUGUUUAUUUAUACUUAUUACAAACUUGCCAGUUUGUGCUAGGAAACAUGAAGUUAUUAGGUAAAUCUUGGAAGUAUAUAAACGAGGGGAACGCCCACAUCGUUGUUCAACUAUUGGAGACGGAUUACGUGCUACGUUUUAUCAAGGAGGACGAAAAAACCGCCGAUCAGAAAAAUGUGCAUGAAUCAGUGAACUUUGUAAAUUUGAUCAUGGUUCCAUUGCUGGAAAACCGGUUCUAUAGUGCGGAAGAAGCUAUAGAGAUAUCUGAACAUGAUUUAGCAGAAUUAAGCAAACUGUUGCUACCGUUUCGUCCAGCUAAUAGAACAUUCAAGUCAGUACUCUGUCAGACUGCCAUAAAAGCCACUAACCUGUCAAUUGUGAGUCCCUCUUGCGAAACUAACUAUUGUAUAGAGAUCAAACCCAAAGAAGGUUUCCUAUCAGCCAACCUUAGGAAGUACUCCAAGUGUUAUUACUGUUUAAAACAAUAUCUCAAACUGCAGAGUGGAGCUAUCAAGCAGACUAGUCACUAUUGUCCUCUAGACUUGUUCUCUGGCGACAGAGAGAGAAUGAAAUAUUCACUAAUUCACAUGAUAAACAAUCCACAAAAUAACUUCAAAUUAUUCAAAGAUGGGACCUUAAUUUUUCAUGAAAAGUCAUCUCAAAAUGACUUUGAAAGUUUUGUAAAAAACAUGAGCUAUUUUAGUGAUUCACAUCAAUUUUUAGACUUUAUCAUAGAUAUCCUACUGAGUGAUAACAAUUCACCAUACAUUGCACUUGAGAAAACUAAAAACACUAUGAUGAAUGAAAUGCCCACUCAAUGUUUUGAAAGCAAUAUGCUAAAGGAAACAUCAUUCCUGUACAAGUUACUGCAAUUACAAAAAAUAUCAGAAACAAGGCCAUUUGACAUCAAAUAUGUGAAAAUCAAACACACUGACUAUGUCACUAAAUUGCUUGGACAACUACACUUAAAACAAUUAGAUUUGAACCAACCAAAUGACAGAGAAACAUUUCUUAGAACUAUAGAUCCAACUCACUUAGCAUUGAUAAGUGCAAUAGCAAAAGACUGUUCUAUAAUGAUAAGUUUCUCCUCCAAUUAUGUUGAAAACUUCCCCUAUGUGGAAACAGGAAACUUAAAGAUUUUCUAUAAACUUGCUCUGACUGACUUGGAACCAAAGUCGGUAGCAACAUUGCCUAAAAGAAGGGACACUGAGAACAAAAUGAUAGAAGUGUAUGAGAAAUACAUUGAAUCUAUUAAUAAGGAACAAGAAUAAUUCAACCUCACACAGAAACAAGAGCAAAGCAAUUAGAAGCAUGGCAGCAACUCAUAACAGAAUACUUAAAAUCGAACAAACAAUCAACCAUAGACGUAAGAGAAUCUCAGAAUAGUCCACUUUUUAAUAACACGGAGAUUAAGAGAAAGUUAUCACAAGAAGCGAUACUAACUAUCCUUGAAGAUAUGGCUAAGACUGGAAGAGCUGCACCUAUAGAUAAGAGUAAAAAUGUAUGGGAGGUGUACUGGCACUCGCUCGAUGAGUGGGGCAACUUAGUCUAUAACUGGGCUUGCAAUAAUGGAAUGAAUAACUCUGUUUGUACAUUAUUUGAAUUGAGGGAAGGAGAGAAUACUGUUGAUCAAGAGUUCCACGGCCUGGACAUGAGUGUUCUAUUAAAGGCUUUAAAGAAUUUAGAAGCAAAAGGUAAAUGUGAACUGAUGGAAUUUGACGAUAGCCAGGGUGUUAAGUUUUUCUGAGACCUCUGUGAGAUAGCUAGCUCUGUUUCUAAGCAAUUAUUCUAAGUACACAAUUUUUAAUACAAAUAUGAAAGUGUUAUAAUGCAUUUUGUUAAGUUAUAAGCAUUUUUUAAUGUUGGAAUAAAUAUUAUAUAUGUUUAAUUCAUAUUUUUAA